GUUCCUUUGUGGACGGACGUCUGAUCAAAUUGGAGCCAUAUACAGAAGAUUAGCACAUGCACAAGAAUGGCACACAAAAAUCAAGAAAUGAACUAUUAUUAG